UACAGAGGCCCCAAGCGUUGUUCGGAUUCACUGGGCGUAAAGGGUGCGUAGGUGGUGAGGUAAGUCGGAUGUGAAAUCUCCGAGCUCAACUCGGAAAUGGCAUUGGAAACUACCUUGCUCGAGGGUUGGAGGGGGGACUGGAAUGCUUGGUGUAGCAGUGAAAUGCGUAGAUAUCAAGCGGAACACCAGUGGCGAAGGCGGGUCCCUGGACAACUCCUGACACUGAGGCACGAAAGCUAGGGGAGCAAACAGG
rnacentral:rRNA from 1 species